CCUACGGGAGGCAGCAGUGGGGAAUAUUGCACAAUGGAGGAAACCCUGAUGCAGCGACGCCGCGUGCGUGAAGAAGUCAUUCGUUAUGUAAAGCUCUAUCAGCAGGGAAGAAAAUGACGGUACCUGAGUAAGAAUCCCCGGCUAACUACGUGACAGCAGCCGCGGUAAUACGGAGGGGGCAAGCGUUAUCCGGAUUUACUGGGUGUAAAGGGAGCGUAGACGGCAGUGCAAGUCUGGAGUGAAAGGCGGGGGCUCAACCCCCGGACUGCCUUGGAAACUGUACGGCUGGAGUGCAGGAGGGGUAAGUGGAAUGCAUGGUGUAGCGGUGAAAUGCGUAGAGAUUAGGAGGAACACCAGUGGCGAAGGCGGCUUACUGGACUGUAACUGACGUUGAGGCUCGAAAGCGUGGGGAGCAAACAGGAUUAGAUACCCGUGUAGUC
rnacentral:rRNA from 1 species